rnacentral:tRNA from 1 species
UGUUCUGUGGUGAAGUUGGAUAACGCACCCUGUCUAGUGAAUUGGGGAGACGUAGGUUCAAAUCCCACCAGAACUA